ensembl:lncRNA
GUUAUCACAAAUUGGGUCAUUAGGAGGUCAGUAGGCAGUAGAUCUAAUAAUAAAUUAUACUGAAAUUGACUCUUUCAGCAUGGAAAUGGGCACAAUGGCGCUGCCUAUACUGGAACAGAUGUUAAUGCUGAAAUCCCUCCUGGAGCAGAGUACACAGCGCUGCAGCACUGGCAACCAUCCUAGACACCUUCCACACAUCCACAAAAAGAACACAAGAGACAUGCUCACCCAGGCAAGGUGGUGAUUCUCAGAGGGAAGAAUGCACCAUAAGUGGAUCCAGCUGAUUACUGGCAAUUUGGAGGAAGAUUGUUCUUCAUAUGCUAUGUUGCACUGUCUCUUCUACAGUCACUGACAGAGUCAUUGACCUGUUGUGCUAUCUUUUGAUUUUACUUUACUUUGUUUCCAACCCCACUUUAAUUGAAACAGUGAAAAUCAUAUAGGUGUUUCAAUUUAUUUAGCAUUUCUUCAAUGUUUUCAAUUGAGUAUAUUUCACAGUAAUCUUAAAGCUUAUAUUUUAUGUGAAUUUGAAUAAACAUCUGC